rnacentral:tRNA from 1 species
UCCCUGAUAACUCAGUUGGUAAAGAGUCUGCCUGCAAUGCAGGAGACCCUAGUUCGAUUCCUGGGUUGGGAA